rnacentral:rRNA from 1 species
GGUGGAUUAGGCAUGCAAGGUCGAACGGUAGACUAUCCUUCGGGAUAUUGAGAGUGGCGAACGGGUAGAGUAACACGCAGAUGAGUCUACCCUCGAAAUGGGGGGAACCGAACCCAGGGAAACUUGGGCUAAUACCGCAUGAGUGCAGCGCAUAAAGCAUCUUUAGGUGGGUGUUUUAUGCGUUGCAUAAAAAGGUUGGCCUUCGGGCUGUCGUUUGAGGAUGAGUCUGCGUCCUAUUAGUUAGUUGGUGAGGUAAUGGCUCACCAAGGCGAUGAUAGGUAGGCGGCCUUAACGGGUGGCCGCCCACACUGGGAUUGAGAUACGGCCCAGACUCCUACGGGAGGCAGCAGUCGAGAAUAGUCUACAAUGGACGAAAGUCUGAUAGUGCGACGCCGCGUGAACGAAGAAUCCCUUCGGGGUGUUAAAAAGUUCUUUUAUAUGUGAGCAAUGCUUUUUAUGUGAAUAGCAUGAGAAGAGAGAUAUUAGCAUAUGAAUAAGCAACGGCUAACUCCGUGCCAGCAGCGGC